rfam:Hordeum vulgare subsp. vulgare, WGS project CAJW01000000 data, contig: morex_contig_59374
UAACUACUCCCCCCGUUUUUAAAUACUCUUGUCUUAAAUUUAUCUAGAUAUAAAUGUAUCUAGUCAUAUUUUAGUAUUUAGAUACAUUUAUUUCUAGACAAAUCUAAAAAAAGAAUUUUGAAACGGAGGGAGUAUAAG